rnacentral:rRNA from 1 species
AAUCAACGCUGGCGGCGUGCCUAACACAUGCAAGUCGAACGGGAAAACAGGGGCAACUCUGUGAGUACAGUGGCGUACGGGUGAGUAACACGUGACUACCUACCUUCGAGUGGGGGAUAACCCCGGGAAACCGGGGCUAAUACCGCAUAACAUCGCAAGAUCAAAGGAGCAAUCCGCUUGAAGAGGGGGUCGCGGCUGAUUAGCUAGUUGGUAGGGUAAUGGCCUACCAAGGCGAUGAUCGGUAGCCGGCCUGAGAGGGCGCACGGCCACACUGGAACUGAAACACGGUCCAGACUCCUACGGGAGGCAGCAGUGGGGAAUUUUGCGCAAUGGGGGAAACCCUGACGCAGCAACGCCGCGUGGAGGAUGAAGUCCCUUGGGACGUAAACUCCUUUCGACCGGGACGAUUAUGACGGUACCGGUGGAAGAAGCCCCGGCUAACUUCGUGCCAGCAGCCGCGGUAAUACGAGGGGGGCGAGCGUUGUUCGGAAUUAUUGGGCGUAAAGGGCGCGUAGGCGGUGCGGUAAGUCACCUGUGAAAACUCUGGGCUCAACUCAGAGCCUGCAGGCGAAACUGCCGUGCUGGAGUGUGGGAGAGGUGC